CGCUAGUAAUCGUAGAUCAGCCAUGCUACGGUGAAUACGUUCCCGGGUCUUGUACUCACCGCCCGUCACACCAUGGGAGUUGAUUUCACUCGAAGCCGGAAUACUAAACUAGUUACCGUCCACAGUGGAAUCAGCGACUGGGGUGAAGUCGUAACAAGGUAACCGUAGGAGAACCUGCGGUUGGAUCACCUCCUUUCUAG
rnacentral:rRNA from 1 species